AUUUGGCGACACGAUGAAACUGAAUUCUUCUAUGAAGAAGCAAUAUUGAAGAUAACCAUAUAUGGAAAGGAAUUGGAAUUCCGAGAAUUUGGAAUUCAAGACUUGCUUUUUCCCCAGUGGUUAUGAUAGAGAUUUAUAAUUUGCAUCAGGACAUGACACCCAUUUUCAUCUGUAAGAAGAGUGCCGCCUCAGAUUCUGCCUUAACUUGGGUAAUACAUCUUCCAGGAUGGUAUUCUUUUUUAGUUAAUGGGACAACCCAUUUCUCGUCUAUCAGAAUGUCGACUACCUUCUAAGAAGUCCAAGUCAAAUUGGU